GAGUUUGAUUAUGGCUCAGAUUGAACGCUGGCGGCAUGCUUUACACAUGCAAGUCGGACGGCAGCACGGGUGCUUGCACCUGGUGGCGAGUGGCGAACGGGUGAGUAAUGCAUUGGAACGUACCGAGUAGUGGGGGAUAACUGUCCGAAAGGAUAGCUAAUACCGCAUACGACCUCAGGGUGAAAGCAGGGGACCUUAGGGCCUUGCGCUAUUUGAGCGGCCAAUGUCUGAUUAGCUGGUUGGUGGGGUAAAGGCCUACCAAGGCGACGAUCAGUAGCGGGUCUGAGAGGAUGAUCCGCCACACUGGGACUGAGACACGGCCCAGACUCCUACGGGAGGCAGCAGUGGGGAAUUUUGGACAAUGGGCGCAAGCCUGAUCCAGCCAUGCCGCGUGUCUGAAGAAGGCCUUCGGGUUGUAAAGGACUUUUGUACGGGAAGAAAAGGUUGUGGAUAAUACCCAUGACUGAAGACGNACCGNAAGAAUAAGCCCCGG
rnacentral:rRNA from 1 species